AUUGAACGCUGGCGGCAGGCUUAACACAUGCAAGUCGAGCGGGCGAGGUUGCUUCGGUAACUGAGCUAGCGGCGGACGGGUGAGUAAUGCUUAGGAAUCUGCCUAUUAGUGGGGGACAACAUUCCGAAAGGGAUGCUAAUACCGCAUACGUCCUACGGGAGAAAGCAGGGGCUCUUUAUGACCUUGCGCUAAUAGAUGAGCCUAAGUCGGAUUAGCUAGUUGGGGGGGUAAAGGCCUACCAAGGCGACGAUCUGUAGCGGGUCUGAGAGGAUGAUCCGCCACACUGGGACGGAGACACGGCCCAGACUCCUACGGGAGGCAGCAGUGGGGAAUAUUGGACAAUGGGGGGAACCCUGAUCCAGCCAUGCCGCGUGUGUGAAGAAGGCCUUUUGGUUGUAAAGCACUUUAAGUGGGGAGGAGGCUUACCUGGUUAAUACCUGGGCUAAGUGGACGUUACCCACAGAAUAAGCACCGGCUAACUCUGUGCCAGCCGCCGCAGUAACAC
rnacentral:rRNA from 1 species